rnacentral:tRNA from 2 species
AUUAUAAUAGUUUAAUUAAAACUAUAGUUUGUGGAACUAUAAAUGAUAUAAUA